rnacentral:rRNA from 1 species
CCUACGGGGGGCAGCAGUAGGGAAUAUUGCUCAAUGGGGGAAACCCUGAAGCAGCAACGCCGCGUGGAGGAUGAAGGUUUUCGGAUUGUAAACUUCUUUUGUUAGAGAAGAUUAUGACGGUAUCUAAUGAAUAAGCACCGGCUAACUCCGUGCCAGCAGCCGCGGUAAUACGGAGGGUGCAAGCGUUACUCGGAUUCACUGGGCGUAAAGAGUGCGUAGGCGGGGUAAUAAGUCAGAUGUGAAAUCCUGUGGCUUAACUACAGAACUGCAUUUGAAACUGUUAUUCUGGAGUGUGGGAGAGGUAGGUGGAAUGCUUGGUGUAGGGGUAAAAUCCGUAGAGAUCAAGAGGAAUACUCAUUGCGAAGGCGACCUGCUGGAACAUUACUGACGCUGAUGCACGAAAGCGUGGGGAGCAAACAGGAUUAGAUACCCGGGUAGUC